rnacentral:misc_RNA from 1 species
GCAAACUUGGUCAUUUAGAGGAAGUAAAAGUCGUAACAAGGUUUCCGUAGGUGAACCUGCGGAAGGAUCAUUAUCGAAUUAAAUCCAGCCAUCUGGCUGUGCAUUCACUUGCACGCCGGGCGGUCUGGCUCUUUGAUUUUCACACCUCUGUGCACUUCGGGCCGACGUCUCUUCGGAGGCGAAGGCUGGCUUUUUUACACCUUUUUUGUAUGUCUUUGAAUGUAAUGGGCCUCCCUGUGAUGGGGUUGGUCUUUAAUCGUAAAUACAACUUUCAGCAACGGAUCUCUUGGCUCUCCCAUCGAUGAAGAACGCAGC